UGCCUCCCCAGUACUGAGAUUAAAGGAGUGUCCGACACACAACCUUGAUGCUGACUUCAUCUACUGAGCCAUUCUGAGACAGCACCAUCUCAAGAACCCAGCUUGUGUGUUUGGCUGGUUUUCCAGUCAUGAAAACAUCUUUAAAAAAAAUGCAGAACACAGUGCCAAAUGCCGGUGAACUUGGGAAACCCUUCUUCCAUCGUGGUGGGAAUGCAAGGCUGUGCAGUCAUGUUGCAAACGCAGCUCUUAUGUACCACCCAACAAAGGAGUUGAUCCUGUCUGUCCACACAAACCCCUGCAGAUGGUGUUUAUACCUGCUUUGUUACUGCCCAAAGACAAGAGGAGCAAGCAGCCUUCAGUAGGCGAAGGACAAUGGAGUAAGUGUGAAAAGAAUGGGCUGUCAAGGCACAGAAAGACGCAGAAGAAUCUUAAAUUCAUGUUACUGAGCGUGUCUGUCUACCCCUUGGUUCCAACGACAUGACCGUCUAGAAAAGGCAGAUUAGGGAGACAGGAGACCAGUGGUUGGUUGAGGGCGGAGGGAGGAUCAGGCUGCAGCACUUGGAGGCUUUUCAGGAGGUGAUGCUGCUCUGUGACACGAUAUAUGCAUGCCAUCAUACGUGUCUGAACCCAUAGAAUGCCCAGCACCAAGUUCAAACCCUAACAGAAGCAAAGACUCUGGGUAAUAGUCAUGGGCCCUGUAGGGAUGUGCAGGGGUGCUGAUGGGGGAAGGUGGGGUGCACUUUUGCUGGGAACCUGAAAGUACUGUGAAAAAAUGUUGAUUUGAAAGGGGUGGGGCAGGUUGGGAGAUGGCCGAGUGGACCAAGUGCUUGCUGCCCAAACAAGAAGCCCUGAGUUCAGAUCCUCACCAGCCAUGUUGGGAACCAGGUAUAGUGGCGAAUGUCUGUAACCCUGGCACUGGGGCAGGGUGGGGUGGUUGGUUGGAGGCAGAGAGAUCCUGCUGUUUGCUGGCCUGUCAGUCUAGCCAAAAUGGCAAGCUCCGGGUUUGUUGAGAGACCCUGUCUCAAAAAAAUAAAUAGAGUAGAGGAAGACACCUGAUGUUGACCACGGUCCUACAUCCGUGCAUGUGGGUAGACCCAUUUGCACAUGUGCACACAAGCACAUACAUAUGCCAAACAGACAAAAACUGGGAUAGGACCAAACGGUUCCUACCAUGGAGGGUGGGGAUGAGUUGGAAACAACCUCUCCCCCACGUCCAAGUUACAAAGCACAGCUAUGCAGUGUUUAUCAUGCUGAGCUCUGGAAUUCCUUUUUUUAUUUUUUUGUCAGCAAUUUCUAUUUUUUUUCUUUUUUUUAAUAUUUUUUAUUUUAUAUGUCUGAGUGUUUAGCCUGAAUGUAUG